rnacentral:lncRNA from 1 species
GGUCUCCAUGUUUUUGAACGAAUACAACGUCGCCCGGUUGGAAUAUUAUCGCAAUUUUACGAGAAAAAUCGCAUAAAAAUUGAUUUUAAACAGCGUUUGACAUGCUUCUAAGUACGGUAAUGGAAUAUUUUGAAACAACAUUUGUUGUUGAAGUAGAAGCCCUGGGAGUGCAUUCUGACGAAGAACAACAAAGGAAUCUACAUCUGAAGGCCUGGUACAAGCAAAACAUCUCUCCAACUACAGACGCCAGUGUCUCAGGACCGUAUUUUUAAACAGGUCAAAGGAUGUGCCAUGGGAGCUUGCUACAGCCCUUCCUACGCUGGUUUGUACUUGGAUUGGAAUGUCCACAGUGCAAGGUGUUCUACAUUGGACGGACAAAGAGACGCCUUCAAGACCGCUUAGCGGAACACAAGUACGCCAUACAGGUAGGCAAUGAAGACUACCCCAUGGCAAGGCAUUACAAGUCCUUACACCAUGGCAACCCUGCCUCCCUACAAGCUAUGGGUAUUGAUCAUAUUCCUGCCUCUAUUAGAAAAGGGGACCGUCUUAAACAGUUAAACUAAAGGGAACAUUUUGGGAUUUACAAACUACAAGCCACUAAAUACCCUGGUUUAAAUGAAGACAUGGAUUUCUCACCCUUCCUGUAGGGUUGUGAUAGGUCCAUUUGCUGUCAUCUAGUGGACAUUUUGCUCAAUAGCCCUCAGCUAUGUUUAGACUAUUGUUGUUCAUGUUUUGCUGUGUUCUAGUGUACUAUGGAAUAUAUUGCUUUCUUUUUCUUGACACUUCUCCCAUUCAUAUUUAAGGUUAGAACUACCUUUCUAAGUGUUCUGAUACUUCUAGCUUGGAGUUGUAUUUUUAUGAUAACAUAGCUACAGUAUUUCACUUUUUAAUGUGUAUAGUAUUGCUUACUAGGUGUGUCCAAUCAAUGUUGUAACCACUCCCUCUUCAAAUUAGGGCUAAUUGGAAAAGCUGUUCAAAAGAGGACAUUGUAUUAUUU